ensembl:rRNA 5S_rRNA 5S ribosomal RNA
UCUUAUGGCCAUACCACCCUGAACACACCCUAUCUCGUCUGAUCUCAGAAGCUAAGCAGGGUUGGGCCUGGUUAGUACUUGGAUGGGAGACCGCCUGGGAAUACCAGAUGCUAUAGGCU